rnacentral:lncRNA from 1 species
CCGGGUUCUUGAUCCGAUUUUGAUGGUUAUAUCAUCAUGUAAGAAUAAUGGUGGGAGAGUAGUUGUAAAGUUAAAGCAUAUGUAUGUGUCGCAUAUGAAGAAAGCUCAUAGAGAUGGUUCGAUUGGUUAAACAUAAUAUCGAUAAAAAAACAAAGAAGGCGGUAUGGGGAAGAGUUAAGGAAAAGGGUGGAGAGGACGUGGGAACAAAGAAAUACAAGAUAGGCUUGACCUAUUUUUAUUGAAGAAAAGAAAGGAAAAAAGAAUGCAUGACACUUUUUCU